GGGGAUAAACUAUUGGAAACCGAUAGCUAAUUCCGCAUAAGAGUAGAUGUUGCAUGACAUUUGCUUAAAAGGUGCAAUUGCAUCACUACCAGAUGGACCUGCGUUGUAUUAGCUAGUUGGUGAGGUAACGGCUCACCAAGGCAACGAUACAUAGCCGACCUGAGAGGGUGAUCGGCCACACUGGGACUGAGACACGGCCCAGACUUCCUACGGGAGGCAGCAGUAGGGAAUCUUCGGCAAUGGGGGGAACCCUGACCGAGCAACGCCGCGUGAGUGAAGAAGGUUUUCGGAUCGUAAAGCUCUGUUGUAAGAGAAGAACGAGUGUGAGAGUGGAAAGUUCACCCUGUGACG
rnacentral:rRNA from 1 species